rnacentral:ribozyme from 1 species
UACACUGAAAAAAGAACAAAAACAAAAAAGCAAAAAGAAAGAGGAAAAACAAGGGCGGUUGUAUAGUUUGUUGCUGUGUU